AGAGGAGGGAGUUGCUGCAUAAGCUUCUCCUCAUUUAAAAAAAAAAAAAAAUCGGACGGGAGCGCCGAUGGAUCGGAGACCAGGGGGGGUUUCUAGGUACUCGGAAACCCCCCAUGCGUGCGCGUAUGAAAGGGAAUGCCUUGUUAUAUCCUUCCUCAUGAAAGUAACAUGGAAAGCUAGAGAAGAAGCUGGCCAGCCCAUCCAGCUAAGUGUUUUCAGGGAAUUUCAAAGAGCUUCUACUCAGUGGGAAAGAGACUUCUAUAUAUAGGAUCUCCGGAUGGAAUUUUCGAAUCACAUUACAUAUGCUGCCCGCCUCCCACCGCUGACCAGCGCUCACUUCUGCACGCUGCACCGCCAUUGAAAGCUGACCACCGCAGACCACAACUGGCGGUGGUCAGAGGGACAUCAACGCCGCAGCGAAGAAGGACAGCUUAGUACCGCCGCAUCCCCCGCAGACCAUGGGCUCAUACGCCACCAACAACCACAGUCCCUUCCGCACCUCCGCUGCACA